CGGGUGAGUAACACGUGAGUGACUUGCCUUUUAGACUGGAACAACUUACCGAAAGGUGAGCUAAUGCCGGAUGAGUUAUAUAAGUGCAUGUUUAUAUAGGAAAAGUUGGGGAGACCUGACGCUGAAAGAUGGACUCGCGUCCCAUUAGCUAGUUGGUAGGGUAAUGGCCUACCAAGGCGACGAUGGGUAGCCGGCCUGAGAGGGUGGCCGGCCACACUGGGACUGAGACACGGCCCAGACUCCUACGGGAGGCAGCAG
rnacentral:rRNA from 1 species